GAUUACAACUGGUUUUUGUGGCGCAUAAGGAUUAGGGAAUAGUAGUAGUUUUCUUGUUUAUUUAGUUAAUUAUUUAUCAUGUCAAGUGCUUGCUUGCUUGCUUGCUUGCUGCCGUCAGAUUCGGACGCUGACGGGUGCGAUGAGGUGGCUCAUCCGUGGACGACAGGCCCAAGCAAAAGAUAGAAGGGUAAAGUAGUCGUUUGCGCUGCUCAUCGGGAUUCCUUAGCGCGACACGUAGCACCGUGAUUACGUCGCUCCAUUGUGUCACCGGUGGGAUAGCGUCAGAGGUGGCAUGUAGUGGUGGUCGCCGGAGAUGAGUUGGCAGACAGCUGGCACUGUCGUCGCAGAGACGUGAUAAUCCCCUUCAAAGAAUUGGAGACCUACCACUUAACGGGCCCUUCUGGCUACCUGCUCUCUGAUUGGGAAUGCUUCCAGCUAAGUAAUCAGAGGACAGGUAGGAAAGAAGGGUAGGGUUGGGAGAAAGCCUCGUUCCGAGGCGAGCAGGGCAUGUCAUGCCAUCCCAUUCUUGCUGACGCGGCUGGGGCCCCGCUCUCGUUCCCCACGCCCUCUUCGCCACCAAAUAAAAUGCCCUCGACGCGCCCUCACCCCAAAUUGCAAGAACAAGUGAUUUAGCAGAGAGAGAGAGAGAGAGAGAUGGCGUCCUCUGAAGUUCAAGAGGAAGAGAAGAAGGUGCCAUCGGCGGCCGCUUUGAGUGGGGACGAAAGAGAGAAGCAAUCGACCAACGCGGUCGCCUUUGCUGAGACGGAGCUGUAGCCACCACCCACCUACAUAUCAUCAUAUCUAUCUCCCGCCCUGCCCCUUCCAAUUCGAUCUCGGCCAAGCGUGCUUUUAGAUUUGUUCUCGGUCAUGUCGGCGACGGUGAAAAACGGGGGAGACGCUGCGGCGGUGGAGGUGGAGUUCGCGGCGUGCGACUGCUGCGGGCUCAUGGAGGAGUGCACGCCGGCGUACAUCGCCGGCGUACGGGAGCGGCACGGCGGGCGGUGGAUCUGCGGUCUCUGCGCCGAGGCCGUCCAGGACGAGAUCCGCCGCUCCGGGCCCCUCAUCUCGCUCGAGGAGGCCAUGGGCCGUCAUGCAAGCUUCCGCCGAAGCUUCCGCUCGGCUGAGGCCGCAGCGGUGGAUCCGGCGGAGCAGCUGAUCGCCGCCGUGAGGCAGCUCCUCCGGCGGAACCUCGACUCACCGCGGGCUGUGCGGUCGACCCCGGGCAGCCCCCGAACCAUGGUUGGGCCCCGGACCCGGAGAGGCUUUCCGACCUUUAUUUGCUUGGCGGAUGAGGAUAAGAAUCGAAUCGCAUAGGAAAAGCAAAAGAAAAUGAAAGAAGAACAGAAAGGGAGCGUUUCCAAUUUCCAACGAGUAAAACUCGUUGCUUAAUCUCGAGGAUUCCAAGAGUAGUUUUAUGUUAUGCGAAAAAAAUUGCACAAAUUUUCCGCUGGAUUAUGCACGAGUCUUUCUUCUUUCACAAGUAUACAUACUACUUGUCAUUUGAAGUGAAAAGAAUCACUGAGAAUGGAAGAAUUCCAUCUUCAAGACUCAUUUUAUAUCAUUAGAAUGGAAUCAGCUUUGUGUUUUUGGUA